rnacentral:lncRNA from 1 species
ACGCGUUCUCCGGCAAGAGUGGUUUCAGCUGUUUUUUUGGACGUGCUAGUAGUUAACUCAUGGGAUAGAAAUACUACCGGGAGUGGUGAGAAACAAGACCUAGAAAGCUCAGAGAAAAGCAGAUGGAGAGUGGAGCUCUUGUCUGUCUUCUCGGCUCCUAACGGCAGCCCCAGAUUCGCAAUGAAGAGCCCCACGCCACAUGAAAUGUGAGCAAGUCCACCCACCUCAUCUACCCUGGCGGCCAGUUCCUCGUUGGACCAGAUCCCUUCUAUCAUAAGCUCCUCCUCAGCACAUGGUUAUUACUGGAAUGCUGGUGGUUUGGGCAACUCUUUUUCUGGUGAGAUGGUGCAGUGGGAAGGUACAUCCCACUUCCAGCGGGUUGUCCCUCGGUGCUGGCUUGGCUUCUUGGGAAAAGAGUGAAGAAUCAGAGCCUACACGCUGCUGCUGAGCUCCACAGCCUCCAUCUUGCCUCCUCCUGUUUAGACGAUGCGGGUCCUAGUUCUGGGAAGCCCUUCCACCGGAUCGCAGAGCCUCUCUGAACUUCAGGCUCCUCAUCUAUAAAAUGGACCUCCCAAGGUGGUGGUUUAGUGCUGUCAGGGACAUGUUGGCAGGAGGACCGUGUGAGCUGUUGUGUCCACAGUAGCCUGGAAAGGCCCUUCCCGCUGAGGCGUAUGGCCCAAUGAAGUUGGAGGGGUGAAUUCGAAGCAAGACCUCAAGCAGGGGGUGAAGCGGACAUGAUGUAGAGAAGCUGCUGCUGAUGGCAAUGGGACCAGAAAAGGGGGGCCUAAGGAAGAGAGAACAUGAGAAGCAAAAAGGGCAGCCCCUUAACCUUCAACCUCAGAGGCUCGUGAGGGAGAAACCCAGUCAGGUCUGAGGGGAGAUCUCACAGCAAGGGGGUGGGUGGGACUUGACUCAGAUUGCAGUGGGGAGAAAUUUUAAUGACACCCCCUCCCUAGCAAACCAGCGAUGCAAGAUGGUGCCAGCACAAUAUGGUGCCAAUCAGGAGGUGGUUUGGAAUGGCUGAGGAAGGGAGUCUGGGAAGUGGCUUCAUGCAACGCUGCUCGUUCUAGUGAGAAUGCAGCCAGGUAGUCCUAGGUCCCAGGGGCCGCAGAGCCAAGAUCUGCCUCACCAGCUAUGUGCAGGGACCAUGCACUUUGGCUUCACCUCUUCCUGCCCCUACCCCACCAGCAAGCCCCAGGGACCAGAACCAUCUCUGUCCUGCGUGUGUGUGUGUGUGUGUGUGUGUGUGUGUGUGUGUAAGAAUGCAGGGGACUCCACUCAGACCUUCAACCCUCUUGUCCCACCACCGUGAGGCCCAUGAACAUCUCUCUGCACCAGGAAAUUAUCUUGGCUGGGAGAAGGCGGAAGGGUGAGAAAACCUUGGAAUACUGAGCAAUUUUACUCAAAAGAGACUGAGUUAAUCAUACAGAAAUGGAGCUAUGUCUAAGGGGCAAUUUAAUGCUUUCUUUUUGUUUGUUUUCUUUUUGCCCGUCAGUAGUAGGAAUUAUCAGAUCACGAUGAGAAGAGUAUAAGAAAAAGUAAGAACAAUACUGAUUUGACCCAUCUGGGUAGGUGUGUGUGUGUGAUCUUUAGCCCUCCCACAAUUAUGUCUGUACACGUUUGCUGGGGCAACUGUAUAUUUUCAAUUCCAAUCGUCAGACCUUUCCUUGAAGCUCACGUGUGUUUUGAUCUGGCCAGGAAUUGAGAAUCAUAAAAUCAUUAAAUCUGUAUUAAUUACCUAUUGCUGCAUAGUAAGUUAAUCCAAAAUUUAGCUGAAAUAAAUAUGUAUUAUC